AUUCUUGACAGCAUUCAGACAAAGCCACAAGCGCGCGUUUUGUCUACAGGUGUGAAACCUGAGGGUCAUGGACACACAUGGGUCUUUCCUUUACUUACAUGUUGUAAUAUUUAGCAAUACAGUGGGGUCUGGGAAGCUUGAAUCAUAGGGGACUAUAUUUUGAUGAAUGAACGGCGUAGUGAAAUAUCACUUUGCUUAUUAAUAUUCAGCUCAUUUGGAUAAAAGAUAAAAGCAAAAAUCUUACUGAUCUGCUUUUCUUCAACAACACCGCCCACUUAUUUCCUUUCUCUGUUUUUCUUUUCUUUUCUUUUCUUUUCUUUCUUUCUUUUCUCGGUCGAAUUAAUAAUAACUGAAUGGUUUCCACAGAGAUAUUUUACGAUUGUUUCAUUAGGUACCAUCUGAGUUUGAUAAAGUUUACCGAUAAGCUGAUUGUACAUUUCAAUCUUAACACAGGAAUAAUAAAAUGGUGCAUUUUAAUCUAAUCAUAAAAUUGUAAUUUCAAUCCCAACACAGGAGUAGUAAAAUGGUACAUUUCAAUCUUCCUCCAAGUCUAUAGUUCUCAGACUGAACCUUCACGCAGGAACAAACACUGAAUAUUCACCGCACAAUUUUCGUCUUACAAAUGAAAUGUCAUAAAACACCCUCUUUAUAAUUAGCUCAUUUGGUUCUACUCACUUAAUGGUACAAAACAUUAUUACAGCAUAUAGCCAUGAUAUAAAAUAAUUACACCAAAUGAGCAUGCAGAAAAUAGAAUUAACGAAUAUGGUAGCAGGGUUAAUUAGAACACACAGUAUGGGAUUUACAUAUAUUUACAGAAUAGACGUCUGGUGGAUUUAAAUCAACUCGCCUAUUGACUUAUGUAUACAUGUACGUGUAAAUGUGUUGUUUUAACACUGGGUGUUUAUUACUGUAGCGUUUUGGAUAAUGUGUGUUUUAAUGUUGUACCCCCAUUCUCAAUAUAAGGGAUCAAACAAUGUCGCUCCAUUAUUACUUAAGAGAAUUAACCUCCGUGCUAUAUUUUCAUCAACAUUAUGAAUAUGUUUAUAUGAUUAAAAAAGAAAAUACAAUAGGAUUGGUUUGGAAGGAUAUUUAACUGGUUUCAAAUUAGAAAAUAGUAGCGUAUUUGAAAUGUACGUUACUGUCUCCGAGUAAUACUUUACGUCUGAUCAUGUCUACGAAAUCCCCGUUUAUUUUAGGUUAAAAUGUCCUGAUAAAACAAAUCCAAAAUAUCGUAUAGAUGGCAUUGCUAAUUUUUUCUAUCCGUCCUUGUGAUAAUAAAUGAUUUAUCGCGUACAAUGUACCUGUCACAUAUUCUAUUUUCGCCCUUUUUUUUUUUUAAAUAAUCGCAAAGAUUAGAGACCCGACUGGUCGUUUCCUGAUAUACUUUCUGUCUCAUUAAAUGAAACAAUGAUUCUUAAGUUUAACAAUUUGUUUUCAAUUCUUGACUUAAGAUUGAUAUUUCAUAACGUAGAGAUAAGAAAGAAAUGUACGUUACCCUAGUUUUUUUUUUUUCCCGUAUUCAAUAUGCCGGGUGAGAAAUGCCAAUAGGCUACAUGUUGAACACUGUAUGUACGUUUCUGGGGAUGCAUAAAUUGUGAUUAUUUAUAUCAUUUUAUUGCGGUUGGUUGUUUUAGUGACUCGAGAAAAUAAAUCUCUAAGUAAAUAUCCACAUAGUUUUACGUUUUUUUUUUUUGUCUUCGCUUUUAAACAUCAGAAAUUUAAUCCAAUAACUCAUGUUUUUUGGUACUUGGGCAUUCACUUACAACAUUCUGCAAAAUAACUUACAAACUAGGUAGAUAUUUUUGCAUCAGAAAUGAGUCGUCUUUAGCCCUCACCAUUUUGUAUGUAAGAGUUGCCCAAGUGAUGCUUAAUUUUCGUAACUUCUUUUUCUGAAGAGUUCAAAAAAUUUUUAGUUCCGAUACCCCGUAUUAUCCUACAUUACUAUAUUAAAAUGACUGAUUAUAUACAUUAGCUAAAUAUGUUACAGGCGAUGUUCUAUUACUAUUUUUUUCCACAUUUUAUGAACAUAAUUUUCUUAUAUUGAUAAUCCUUGACAAUUAUUUCAUAUUGUCGUGUAUAGAUAAAAUAAAUGUGUUUUUUUUUUUAAAGGUUAAUGUUGUAAUAAAAUUGGAAAAACCAUAACGGUAACGUACAUUUCAAUAAUUCAUUCAUUCAUUCAUUCAUUCUUUAUUUCCUCCCAUGGGAGAUUGCAUGAACAAUGCAGAAAUUACAUCAUUAGAGUAUUACACAUAUUCAUAUAUACAAAGGAAAAGGAUAUGAGAUUUGUACAUAAGAAGAAAGUUGAGCACAAAAUAAGUACAGGCGAUACAUAGCUAAUUAGAAUUGAACACCGGAAAUGGUGAAAAAUCCGCAGUUAUGUAAGACGUAACUGUCUGUUGUAACAUGCUGCUGCAUCCCUCAGGAAGCGGAAGUUCAGAAGAUGCAAGCCGGGUUCGUCAUAAUGGGUAUGAUUAACCGUGAACAUCCUAGCACCUAAUAGAAAAAGAUAUAGAUCUUGAUGACAGAGACCGCAAAGUUCAGCACUGAGCACAAUAUCAAGGUCAAUUACUGUAUUCCACCAAGCAUCUUGGAUAGCGACUGUUCCUACGCAAGUGGUCGAAACAUGUUCAAAAACGUUUGUGAAAUACUUGCCACAGAUGAGACAAGAUGUCGGAGGAGAGUGUGGAAAGGACCAUAGCUUAGUGAUAAAUUUGCAAAUCACUAUUUCAUGAAUGUUAGACGGAAUUUUCCAGAUAGUCUGUGGAGGUCGCCCUGCCGUUAUUUUGUUGAAUUGUUGAAAAGAAGGAUCCGAGAGCAUCCGUUUGUGCCUUGAAUCUAGAUGGAAAUCAAUUAUUGCUGUUUUGACGCUUGUUUUCCACAAACUCUUUGGAGGAAAGUAACCGUCUUGCAGAUAGAGUAGAAAAUACCGGUGGAGGUUAUACUUAUAGAGUAGAUUAAAAACUUCAUGGAUAAAACCAAAAUGUUUGAGUUGCGGAGACUGUAUAAGAAAUCGGAACAAGUCCAAGUAAGGAUUCACAAAUGUCAGAUCGAGUAACUUUUGGUAAACCUAUUGCAUGCUUGCAAAUGAAGUGCUGUAAGGUAUUAAGGGCCUGCAGAUCUCGUUGGCGUAAAUCGCUCCAGAGUUCACACCCGUAUAGGGUGAGAGGGAGAACAAUUCUGUUGUACAAACGCGAUACGGUAUCAGGGUUAAGGUGUUCUUGUAUUUUGAGUGCAUAGUAGUCUUGUUGACCUUUCCUACACGCGUUGGCAAUUUUCUCAGUAUGAACAAGUUUGGAUUGAAGAAGAAUUAAAUAAUUGAAAUGUACAAAUGAAGUCCUCCGUUUUAGCCUUGUCUUCUUUCAUCAAAUUAGAUAUAUGCAAGGUGUCCACAACGUACCGCUGUCAGAACAUAUUGAUUUUUCCGAUAUCUCUUAUAUUUGUUUCUUGCUUUAAAAAAAAAAAAAAAAAAAAAAAAAAAAAACAAAAAAAAAA